GACGAACGCUGGCGGCGUGCUUAACACAUGCAAGUCGAGCGGUAAGGCCCUUUCGGGGGUACACGAGCGGCGAACGGGUGAGUAACACGUGGGUGACCUGCCCUCAGCUCUGGGAUAAGCCUGGGAAACUGGGUCUAAUACUGGAUAUGACUCCACGGUGCAUGUCGUGGGGUGGAAAGCCUUGUGCGGCUGAGGAUGGGCCCGCGGCCUAUCAGCUUGUUGGGG
rnacentral:rRNA from 1 species